rnacentral:rRNA from 1 species
AUUGAACGCUGGCGGCAUGCCUUACACAUGCAAGUCGAACGGCAGCGCGGGCUUCGGCCUGGCGGCGAGUGGCGAACGGGUGAGUAAUACAUCGGAACGUGCCCUAGAGUGGGGGAUAACUAGUCGAAAGAUUAGCUAAUACCGCAUACGAUCUACGGAUGAAAGUGGGGGACCGCAAGGCCUCAUGCCUCUGGAGCGGCCGAUGUCCGAUUAGCGCGUUGGUGGGGGAAAGGCCUACCAAGGCGACGAUCAGUAGCUGGUAUGAGAGGACGACCAGCCACACUGGGACUGAGACACGGCCGAGACUCUUACGGGAGGCAGCAGUGGGGAAUUUUGGACAAUGGGGGAAACCCUGAUCCAGCAAUGCCGCGUGUGUGAAGAAGGCCUUCGGGUUGUAAAGCACUUUUGUCAGGAACGAAACGGUGGGGGCUAAUAUCCUCUGCUAAUGACGGUACCUGAAGAAUAAGCACCGGCUAACUACGUGCCAGCCGCCGCCGUAA